rnacentral:lncRNA from 1 species
GCACCUGUAGUCCUAACUACUUGGGAGGCUGAGGUCAGGGGCGGGUCACCUAAGCCCAGGAGGUUGCAGUGAGCCAUGAUCAUGCCACUAUGCCACUGCACUCCAGCCUGGGCAACAGAGUGAGACCCUGUCCCCCCCCCCAAAAAAAAACAAUUAUCAGGUGCUGCUAGCUUCUUUCCCAACCAGCCAGAGAACUCUUCCAGGUCAGGGAAGGAUCUGAUCUGUUCUUUGACUCAUGGCCCAAAAUAUAUGCUGAAUAGAUGUUUGGUGAAUGAUGGAUGGAUGAAUGAAUAAUGGGUGAAUGGAUAGGAAAGUGGGUAUGUGGAUGCAAAAUGAAUAUUCAUAGUGUCAACCUUACGUAAUGAAAUUCAAGAGCUGAGCAUGGUGGCUUGCACCUGUAAUCCCAGCUACUCAGGAGGCUGAGGUGGGAGGAUCACUUAAGGCCAGGAGUUUGAGACCAGCCUGAGCAACAUAGCUAGACCCCAUUUUUACCAAAAAACAACAAACAAAACAAAACAAAAAACCUGGCUGGGCAUGGUGGAGAAUGCCUCAAGUUCCAGCUGCUUGGGAGGAUGACAUUCACAGGCUAUAGAAAUGAUUAGCAAAGAAAUAAAUUGAUGGUGGCUAGCUUUGUUUAAUGAACUAUUCAGGCAAAAUUGUUAAGAAUGAAAAAAUUAAAUAAAUGUAAAUGAGAUCAAAGUUUAUAAAUGAACAUUUCAUAGUUUUAAAAGUUGUUUUCAGGCUGGACACGGUGGCUAACGCCUGUAAUCCCAGCACUUUGGGAGGCCAAGGCAGGCAGAUAACCUGAGGUCAGGGGUUCGAGACAGCCUGACCAACGUGGAGAAACCCCGUCUCUACUACAAAUACAAAAUUAGCCAGGCAUGGUGGCGCAUGCCUGUAAUCCCAGCUACUCGGGAGGCUGAGGCAGGAGAAUCACUUGAACCCAGGAGGCAGAGGUUGCAGUGAGCCAAGAUCACACCAUUGCACUCCAACCAGGGCAACAAGAGUGAAACUCCGUCUCAAAAACAAACAAACAAAAAUUGUUUUCAGUAACUUAAUAUCAUGUUAUGUUAAAUGAAGUAAUAGGUCAUUAUAAAACGUCUGAAUCAUUUAUAUGGUAUAGAAAAGCUAAAUAUAUUUCGAUCUGUUAACAAAAAAAAAUUGAGGAGCCAUCUUUCUAGAAAUUAUGAAAUUAUUUUCAUCUACAAAUGCUGGUAGAAAACAGCUAAAAAUUACUUACUUCCUAGGUUUUUCACUGGAAAUUUGGGUUACUAAGAGUGAAAAUUGUAGUUAACAUAUGUGAUUAAAACUACUUGAUAUAAAAGAAACAGUUCUAUUUACAGAGUGUAUAAAGUCAGAUGUGUUUUUGGUAAAGACUGUUGAAAGAGAGUAAUUUUUCUUUUGCAUGAGAGAGAACUUUGUGUAGUCAAAAUGAUAAUGGGAAAAGGGAAGUAAAUUUUUGUCCUAAGGUAGAAUGCCAAAAUAAAAAGGAAGUAUAGGACAAAACUGAAGAUUUAAGCAAAUUCUAGAAGGUCUGUGGAAGAUUAAUCUCACAAAAGACAUUUUGUAUGUGAUCAAAUUGGUUAAAAUGAGAAGGAAAUGGCAGGGUGUGGUGGCUCCUGCCUGUAAUCCCAGAACUUUGGGAGGCCGAGGCAGGCAGAUCACGAAGUCAGGAGUUUGAGACCAGCCUGACCAACAUGGAGAAACCCCGUCUCUACUAAAAAUACAAAAAUUAGCCAGGUGUGGUGGUGCACGCCUGUAAUCACAGCUACUCAGGAGGCUGAGGCAGGAGAUCACUUGAAUCUGGGAGGUGGAGGUUGCAGUGAGCAGAGAUUGCGCCAUUGCACUCCAGCCUGAGUGACAGAGCAAGACUCAAUCUCAAAAAAAAAAAAAAAAAAAAAAUCAGAAGGAAAUGGCCAGGCGCGGUGGUUCAUGGCUGUAAUCCCACCACUUUAGGAGGCCGAGACAGGUGGAUCACCUGAGGUCAGGAAUUUGAGACCAGCCUGGCUAACAUGGUGAAACCCCGUCUCUACUAAAAAUAUAAAAAUUAACUGGGCAUGGUGUUGUGCACCUGUAGUCCUAGCUACUCGGGAGGCUAAGGCAGGAAAAUUGCUUGUACCUGGGAGGUGGAGGUUGCAGUGAGGCAGUUCAUGCCACUGCACUCCAGCCUGGGCAACAAGAGCGAAACUCCAUCUCAAAAAAAAAAAAAAAAAAAAAAAAGAAGGAAUUUUUUAUAAGUUUUUCUAAAACUUAAGUAUUAAUAUCAAAAGCACACUCAUGUAAGGCCAGAGUCUGGGCUCCUGUGUUGGAACAACCAGGUUUUAUCAGAGCAUUGAUCUGCUCUUUAAUAGAAAAUGGUGAGAGAUUAUCGAUUAUCUUAUCUUGUGUAGUCAAAGCUGACUGAAAUUGGAUGAUAGAUAAUAUACUAACACCUAAGUAAUUUUUUUCUUUUUUUGAGACAGGGUCUCACUUUGUCACCCAAGAUGAAGUUCAGUGGUGCAAUCUUGGCUCACUGCAGCCUUGACCUCCCAGGCUCAAGCAAUCCUCCUGCCUCAGCCCCCCAAGUAGCUGGGACUAUAGGCACACACCACCACACGCAGCUAAUUUUUGUAUCUUUUGUAGAGACAGGGUUUCACCAUGUUGCUCAGGCUGGUUUUGAACUCCUGAGCUCAAGUGAUCUGCCUGCCUUGGCCUCCCAAAGGGCUAGGAUUACAGGCAUGAGCCACUGUGCCUGGCCUAAAAGUAAAACUUGUUUUUCUCCUUUGAAUAAAAAUGUAAUGUAGAAUUAAUAAGAGACGGUAAAAGAUGUAUUUACUUUUGCAUAAAUGGCAAAGAAAAGGUAACUGGGGAGAGUUUGUCCCAUGCUGUCUUUAUUAGGUCUCUUGAUUGAGAACUGAAUCUCCUCUAUCAGAGUGGUUUUUGCUUUUUGAAAUCUUUGAAUAAUCAUUUUGGCUAAAGUAAUUACCAUUAUUUUGUAGUGACCUGUGAUUCUAUUUUGAUCAUGUGUUUUAAACCUUUCUUAUUUCUAUAUCAAGUGUUUUAAACCUUUAAUAUUUGAGAUACUUCCCAAAAUUAAAUUAAGUCUUUUUGACCCAAGCUAACUUGGGCAUAACCAGGACCCCUGGAAGUCCAAAAGAGACACAUUAGGCUUAUUUGGGAUGUCAAAGUCAUAUGGGAAAUAUUGUCAAAUAAGAAAUGAUGUUUAACUUUCUUUGAGUUAUAUUUAUAAAAGCGUAUUAUUAAUGUGUUCCAAAAUUGUAUGAGAUUCCUAAAAGUCUGAUAUGUCUUGGUAUAUGUUAUCAGUAUAUCAUUAUCAUAAUUAUUAUGAUAAACUGGUGUGUGCCACACAAAUAACCACAUAUCCUAGUCAAUUUCAUCUUUGACCGUGGCUAUUCUAAGCCUUUUAUCAUCCACAGACAAUUUGUUUUUUUUUUGAGACAGAGUCUCAUUCUGUCGCCCAGGCUGGAGUGCAGUGGCGUAAUCUCGGCUCACUGCAAGCUCCACCUCCCGGGUUCAUGCCAUUCUCCUGCCUCAGCCUCCCAAGUAGCUGGGACUACAGGUGCCCGCCACCACGCCUGGCUAAUUUUUUUGUAUUUUUAGUAGAGACAGGGUUUCACCAUGGUCUCGAUCUCCUGACCUCGUGAUCGGCCCGCCUCAGCCUCCCAAAGUGCUGGGAUUACAGGCGUGAGCCACCGCACCCAGCCGACAAUUUUUAUUUUACUUUGAUUCUUUUAAAAAAAGUCGUUUAUAAUCAGCUACAAAAUUUGCUUCAUCUUUAAGGAAAUUUUUGGAAAAAAACCCUGACAAGUACUCUUGAAUACAGGUUUCUGGUAACUUCAGAGAUCUUACCAUUGGAUUAAGCAAAAGCUUCCAGAACUCUAAUAAAAACCUGAGGCAUUCAUGAAGACUGCUAACCCAACAUCAAGCAGAGCAAGAAUUAUUUACAUGGGACUAAACUGAUAGAGGAUAAAAGUGAUUUUUAUGAUUUUUAAAAUUUGAAACAUUGCUGAUUCUUUUUAUAUUGUUUUUCAGUCAAGAAAAUUUUUUCUUUUGUCACAGCAACUGGAUAAAAGAUACUUUUGUGAGCAAAAUUGAAACAUUUGUCUUUCUCUCUACCUGAUUUCACCAAAAUUUGCAAACUAUUUGUGUUUACUUUUUUUAUUUUCAUUUUUAAAUUAAUUUUUUUUUUUUAGACAGAGUCUUGCUCUGUCACCCAGGCUGGAGUGCAGUGGCAUGAUCUCGGCUCACUGCAACCUCUGCCUCCUAGGUUCAAGCGAUUUUCCUGCCUCAGCCUCCUGAGUAGCUGGGACUACAGGUACAUGCCACCACGCUUGGCUAAUUUUUCUUUCUGAGGUGGAGUCUUUCUCUGUUGCCCAGGCUGGAGUGCAGUGGCACAAUCUUGGCUCACUGCAACCUC